rnacentral:lncRNA from 1 species
UUAGUUGAUGAUUUUGUAUGUAUAAGUUGUUUAAGUUAUCUUGGUUGGUACCAUUGAUACCUUGUUAGAUUGUGUCAUUUUGGUUAACUUGUGAUGCAUGUUUGGAAUAGCUCAUAUGAUAUGUUUUGAAUUGGUAUGAUAAUGGCCAAGAAUGGCAUUUUUAGAAAGUAUUGAACUAGAUAUUGAUGUUUGAACUUAGGUAAAGUUGACA